GGUCAAGCUACUAAGGGCGCAUGGGGGAUGUCUCGGCAUUAGAAGGCGAUGAAGGGCGUGGAAGUCUGCGAAAAGCCCGGGGAAGUUGACAAACGAACGUUGAUCCCGGGAUUCCCGAAUUGACUCGCACUGAAUCCAUAGGUGCGUUGUAGCAAACCCGGUGAACUGAAACAUCUCAUUAACCGGAGGAGCAGAAAGAAAACUCGAUUCCCCGAGUAGCGGCGAGCGAAACGGGAAUAGCCCAAACCGCUGGGGUUUUCCCCGGCGGGGUUGUAGGGCCUUCCACAUGGGAGUUACAAAGUAGCCCGUUAGCAGAACAGCUUGGAAAGGCUGACCACAGAAGGUGACAGUCCUGUAAGCGAAAACGGAGCUACCUCCCGGAGGGUACCUGAGUAGGUCGGGCCACGUGAAAUCCCGACUGAAUCAACGGGGACCAUCCCGUAAGGCUAAAUACUCUCUAAUGACCGAUAGUAAACUAAGUAGGGCGACUGAAAGAUGAGAAGAACCCCUGUUAGGGGAGGAAUGUGAACCUGAAACCAUGCGCCUACAAGCGGUCGGAGGGCUAUGGCAAGCUUGCUUGCAAUGCCUGACGGCGUGCCUUUUGCAUAAUGAUCCGGCGAGUUACCGUCGUUGGCUCGGUUAAGGCCUUCAGGGCCGGAGCCAUAGGGAAACCGAGUCUGAAUAGGGCGAUUUGUCAGCGGUGGUAGACGCGAAACUGCGUGAUCUACCCAUGGGCAGGGUGAAGCGUGGGUUAUACUACGUGGAGGCCCGAACUCACUUGGGUUGAAAACCGAGGGGAUGACCUGUGGGGAGGAGUGAAAGUCUAAUCAAACGCAGAGAUAGCUCGUUCUCUCCGAAAUAGCUUUAGGGCUAGUCUUGAGCCACUACGUUCCGGGGGUAGAGAUACUGAAUUGGACGAAGGCUUUUCCCAAAGUACUUCACCGAACCAAACUCCGAAUACCGGAACGACUAUCUCGGGAAUCAGUCCGCGGGGGAUAAGCUCCGCGGUCAAGAGGGAAACAACCCAGAUCAUCGGCUAAGGUCCCUAAGUCAUGCUCAGUCAAAAAGGAAGUUAGGGUGCUGAGACAGCCAGGAUGUUGGCUUAGAAGCAGCCACCAUUUAAAAAGUGCGUAACAGCUUACUGGUCGAGCAUCCUUGCGCCGAUAAUGAUCGGGAGUAAGCAUGACACCGAAGCCGUGGGUUGAAGGGAUCCUCGGAUCACUUCAGCGGUAGGAGAGCGCUGUACGUCAGAUACGAGUCGUACCGUAAGGAGCGAUGUUGGGGCGUACAGGUGAUUAUGCCGGAAUGAGUAACGAUAAAGCAGGUGAGAAUCCUGCUCGCCGAAAGCCUAAGGGUUCCUGGGGAAGGUAACUCCGCCCAGGGUUAGCCGGUACCUUAGUCGAGGCCGAAAGGCGUAGACGAUGGAGAACGGGUUAAUAUUCCCGUGCCGCAUGUGUGGAGCUAUGGAGGGACGGCGUCCAGAUGGCGAUCAGACGGAUAGAAAUGUCUGUAGGGUAGGUCGAGAUGGCGGGAGAGGCAAAUCCGCCCGCGGAAUUCAAGACCUAAACUCGACUGGCUUGUCCAGGAAGUCGUCGGUAGGACGUCCAAGAAAAUCUUCUAUGCUUUGAAGCACAGCGACCGUACUAAAACUGACACAGGUAGGCGAGACGAGUAGUCUAAGGCGCUCGGGAGAACGGUGGUUAAGGAACUCUGCAAAAUGGCCCCGUAAGUUCGCGAUAAGGGGCGCCUCCGAGGGUGCAAGCUCUUGGGGGCCACAGAAAAUCGGCAUCAGCGACUGUUUAUCAAAAACACAGGUCUCUGCCAACUCGUAAGAGGAUGUAUAGAGACUGACGCCUGCCCGGUGUUGGUAGGUUAAGGAAGUCGGUUAGCGCAAGCGAAGCUGGCGACCGAAGCCCCAAUAAACGGCGGCCGUAACUAUGACGGUCCUAAGGUAGCGAAGUUCCUUGUCGGGUAAGUUCCGACCUGCAUGAAUGGCGUAACGACUGGUGCACUGUCUCAACCACCGACCCGGUGAAAUUGUAGUCGUGGUGAAGAUGCCACGUACCCGCGGUUAGACGGAAAGACCCCAUGAACCUUUACUGUAGGCUGAUAUUGGGCUGAGGUAUGUCUUGUGUAGGAUAGGUGGGAGGCUGUGAAGCGGGAGCGCCAGCUCUCGUGGAGCCAACGUUGAAAUACCACCCUGGAGAUGCUUUAGUUCUAACCCUGAUUCCGUGAAUCCGGACAGGGGACAGUGUCAGUUGGGCAGUUUGACUGGGGCGGUCUCCUCCAAAAGAGUAACGGAGGAGUACAAAGGUGCACUCAGCUUGGUUGGCAAUCAAGCGAAGAGCGUAAAGGUAGAAGUGCGCUUAACUGCGAGACCCAUCAGUCGAGCAGAUACGAAAGUAGGUCUUAGUGAUCCUGUGGUUCCGAAUGGAAGGGCCAUAGCUCAUCAGAUAAAAGGUACUCUGGGGAUAACAGGCUUAUCGCAUCCGAGCGUCCACAGCGGCGAUGCGGUUUGGCACCUCGAUGUCGGCUCAUCACAUCCUGGGGGUGAAGAAGCUCCCAAGGGUUUGGCUGUUCGCCAAUGAAAGUGGUACGUGAGCUGGGUUCAGACCGUCGUGAGACAGGUCGGUCCCUAUCUGCCGUGGGCGCACGAAACUUGAGGGGGUUCAACUUUAGUACGAGAGGAUUUAGUUGGACGUAGCUCUGGUGUACCAGUUGUCGCGCUAGCGGCAUGGCUGGAUAGCUAACUACGGAACGGAUAAACGCUGAAAGCAUCUAAGCGUGAAGCUUGCCCCAAGAUUAGGUUUCGUAAGUGCUAUCGCACGAAAGUCCCCUGGAAGACGACCAGGUUGAUAGGCCAGAUGUGUAAGCACCGUAAGGUGUUGAGCUAACUGGUACUAAUGGACGAAAGCUUGACCAC
rnacentral:rRNA from 1 species